GACCUUGUGGCGCAACGGUUGCGCGUCUGACUCCAAAUCAGAAGGUUGUGUGUUCAAGUCAAAUCAAGGUCA
rnacentral:tRNA from 1 species